AGCGAACGUUAGCGGCGCGCCUAACACAUGCAAGUCGCACGAGAAACGGAGCAAUCCGCGGUACAGUGGCGCACGGGUGAGUAACACGUGGAUGACCUUCCCUGGAGUGGUGGAUAACCUGCCGAAAGGCGGGCUAAUACAGCAUGGGACCACGACGCUUUGGCGAUGUGGUGAAAGCGGGCCUCUAUAUAUAAGCUCGCGCUCCGGGACGGGUCCGCGUCCCAUCAGCUAGUUGGUGAGGUAACGGCUCACCAAGGCAACGACGGGUAGCUGGUCUGAGAGGAUGGCCAGCCACACUGGAACUGAGACACGGUCCAGACUCCUACGGGAGGCAGCAGUGGGGAAUCUUGCGCAAUGGGCGAAAGCCUGACGCAGCGACGCCGCGUGGGCGAAGAAGGCCUUCGGGUUGUAAAGCCCUGUGGGGAGAACGAACCGUACGGGGGCGAACACCCUCCGUGCCUGACGGUACUCCUUUAGCAAGCAUCGGCUAACUCUGUG
rnacentral:rRNA from 1 species